CAGAUUGUAUCGUAAUUGGUAACGAGUCAACAUUGGGUGUUGAAACUUAGGGGUUCGAGUCCUCUCAAUCUGA
rnacentral:tRNA from 2 species